rnacentral:rRNA from 1 species
AUCAAGCAGGCUAAUCGGCCCUCCGAUCCGCCCAGCUGGCCCGCUGCGCGGAACCCUAGACGAAUGGGCGAGGCGGCGGCGGCGCACCGGAGGAUCCAGUUCCACGCGGCGGCGAGGCAGGGGGCGGGGGCGGCCGGAGGGGCCCCGAUGCGGAGGCCGUACCAGAACCCCGACAGGCGCUUGGCGCUAGCGGCGGCGGCGGCGCGGGAGAAGAAGGGCGAAGCGGGCGCGGGCGGGCUCGAUCGGGAGCUCGCCGCCGCCAGGGUCUACCUGCGAAGAAUCGGGGCUGGCUUGCAUAAUCUCGGCAAUACGUGCUACCUCAACUCGGUCCUGCAAUGCCUGACGUACACAGAGCCCUUCGUGGCGUACCUGCAGAGCGGGAAGCACACGUCAUCAUCAUGCCGAGCAGCUGGAUUCUGUGCACUGUGUGCUCUCCAGAACCAUGUUAGAUGUGCCCUACAGUCAACUGGGAAGAUAUUGACACCGGUGCAGUUUGUGAAGAACUUAAAAUAUGCACACGAGCUAAUGGUUAACUUACUUGAGUCCAUGCACAAAUGCUGUUUACCUUCGGGUAUACCAAGUCAGUCUCCGAGUGCUUAUGAGACCAGUCUAGUUCACAGAAUAUUUGGUGGCCGCUUAAGAAGUCAGGUGAGAUGUGCAAGUUGCUCCCACUGUUCCAGCAAAUUCGAUCCUUUCCUGGAUCUCAGUCUGGAAAUUGCUAAUGCUGCUACGUUGGUGAAAGCACUUCAAAAUUUUACUGAAGAAGAGGCUUUAGAUGGCGGGGAGAAGCAGUACAACUGCCAGAGCUGCAAGAAAAAAGUUGUGGCCAAGAAAAGAUUUACAAUUGAUAAGGCUCCUGAUGUAUUGACAAUUCAUCUGAAGCGUUUUAGUCCUUUUAACCCUGGUCAAAAGAUCAACAAAAAAGUGGAUUUUCAGUCAACUUUGAACUUGAAGCCAUUUGUCAGUAAUUCAGAAGGCAUGGAUUUCAGAUACAGUCUUUAUGGUGUGUUGGUUCAUGCUGGCUGGAAUACACAAUCAGGUCACUAUUAUUGCUUUGUUCGGACUUCUAGUGGGAUUUGGCACAAUCUUGAUGAUAACGAGGUUUGCCAAGUUCGUGAGGCAGAUGUAUUGAGGCAGAAAGCCUAUAUGUUAUUCUAUGUGCGUGACAGGGUGAGGAGCUCAGUGAUGUUCAAAAAUAAUGGUGCUGCUGGUUCGUUAGUUAAGAAUGCUAUUUCUGAGAAGACCGCUAAUAUGAAUGGCACAAUUCGAAACGGUUUAAUGGAAGCAAAAUUGAAUGUUCCCUCAUUUACCAAUGGAGAUGUUAAGUCGCAGAAGCAGAACCCAGAUGAUGGUCGUCCUAGCAUUUUUGGCAGCAGCUCACAAGGCCAGUGUUCAAAAUAUUCUAGCAGUACUGGAGUUAUUGAAGCCGCAGCUGUCCAAAACAAUGGUGUCCAAAACAAUGGUAUGGUUUCAGUACAGACAGCUGCUGCUACCUUGUCCAUCAACACAACCAAGACAACUUCAGAUAGUGCAAGGGAGAUAGUUUCAUCAGCACAGCCUGAUGUUACUGUUCCUCAUAAUUCAAGCUGUGACCCGAAGGCGUAUGAGAAGCCAUUGCAAGAACAGCAACCUGAGUCCGAUGGUGCAUUUACUGAUUCAGGUAAAGGCAGUACUGCUGCCUUGCCCAUAUGCAAUGGCGGUGAUGGGAUGUUGGAAGAAAAUCACCAGGCUUCUGAACCUCGAACAGAUCCAUGUGGUGAACAAACUCUCAAUACAAGUAAGCCAGCGGAAAGUGCAGAAAUAAAGAAAACCAAGCAUACGAUGCUUUCUGUUUCUAAUGGAACAAUGCCCAGUAGAGAAGAUUUAACCUGCUGUAAUGAAGCUAAAGAGUCAGCAGAGUCUGGGAAGCAACCUGAUGAAAUAGCUAUGGAGGAGCUUUCUGCGGAGAGCACAGGUGCUAUAACAAAUGCAGUGGAGCAGACUUCAGUCCAGACUAAAACAGCAGAGGUUGGCCAGGCUACGGUGGAGGAGCUUUAUGUGAAGGACACCGACUGCAUUGCAAAUGCACAGGAGCAGGCUUCUAUGCAGAACAAAGAUCUGGUAGCUGGGCAGGCUCACUCUGAGGCACACAUCUAUUCUGAAGUUUCCGCACAGCCGAUCUGCCCUGAAGUUUCUUCACUGGCGAUCUGCCCUGAAGUUUCUUCACUGGCGAUCUGCCCUGAAGUUUCUGCACAGGCGAUCUGCCCUGAAGUUUCUCCACAGGCGAUCUGCCCUGAAGUGUCCGCACAGGCGAUCUGCCCUGAAGAUCCUGCACAGGCGAUCUGCCCUGAAGUGUCCGCACAGGCGAUCUGCCCUGAAGUUCCUGCACAGGUGAUCUGCCCUGAAGUUCCUGCACACGUGAUCUGCCCUGAAGCUUCUGCCCAGGUGAUUUGCCCUGAAGACCCUGCACAAGUGUUGGAUAAGGAUCCAUGCCAUGGUAAUUUACGUACAAUGAAGGAUUUGAAGUCCAAGAAGCAUACGGAUUAUUCAACUGUGCACUUGCUUUUUGUGUCCAAGCAACCUUUACUUGCUGCACUAAAACUGCACAAGAAAAGGAAACACAAAAGAGCUAAAAGGCAGUCCAUUGACAAUGGAAUCAUCGCUGAUGAUCAGCAGACAUCAACAUCAGAAACUGUUUUUACCAAGGACAUAUCAUGUAAAUCCCAUAGAAGACGCAAACGCUCCCGCGCCCCUGCAAGUUCUGAUAAUGGUGUUGAGAUAUCCACGAAGAAACCACAUCUCGCUGAGCGCUCCAGCAGUGCUGCUGAUCUUCCCGUGGACAAGAAAGAUGACAAGGAUGCAACACCCGCUAGUGCCGAGCUACCAGGUCCAUGCGUAAGCUCUGUUGCGGACCAGACUGAUUCACGAAACAGCGCAGAUGCAAACGAGAGAGUCCCCUCGCAUUUCGAUCUGCUCACGAGGGGUUUGAGUGAAAUUACCGUUCCACUGUGGGAUGACACUGACAUGUCGGGUAGAAAGUCAGAGUUUCAAUAUUCGAGAAGGGCCGAGAGUAUUGGUUAUGUGCUAGAUGAAUGGGACGAGCAGUAUGACCGCGGGAAAAGGAAGAAGGUGAGGAAGCCACGGGAGGAGUCGAACGGACCGAACCCGUUCCAAGAGGCGGCCGAUGUCAGAGCACGGCCGAGGAAGAGACCGAGAUCCGACCAGGCCAGAUGGGGAAACCAGCCUCGCAGGAUAUGACAAAUCGCAGCCGACGAUGUUGUUGUAUCUAUCACCCAGUUUUGCAGUGAUCAUUUUCAUUUAUUCUUGUUUUGCUUCCCUCCUUGGUGUACGUUACAGUAGUUGCUCUCUGUUUUUCCUCCAGUGUUUACCCCCCCAUCCUUGGUGUGUUAUGUAAGAGCCCUGACAGAUAUUCGAAGCAUAUUGUUCGUUUUCUGAGUGACCAGUGAUCAGAUCGAGCAACAAAUCCAAUAUUUUGUACGUCGCUCCUGGCCCUUUGUCCAGCGCUGCUUUUUUGGUACAAGUUAGUAUAAAGU